CACUGAACCCUCAGCUUGAGGCAGAACUGAGCACAUUUGUGCAGGGGAAUCCAUGCCUCAUGCCACUCUCCCGUCUCCUCUGGGUGUUCCUGGCCUUCACCUUCUCUGGAUCUGGUGUGGCCCAGAAAGUUACUCAAGACCAGCCAUACAUAACCAGUCAAAUAGGGCAAUCUGUCAUUCUGAACUGUCGGUAUGAAAUAAGUUGGAGUGGGUACACGCACUACCUUUUUUGGUACAAGCAGCUUCCCAGUGGAGAGAUGACUUUCCUUAUUCGUCAGGAAUCUUCUGGCCGGAAUGCAAGGAAUGGCCGCUACUCUGUAAACUUCCAGAGAGCACAGAACUCCAUCAGCCUCACCAUUUCAGCCUUACAGCUGGAAGACUCCGCAAAGUACUUUUGUGCAGUCUGGGAACUCACAGUGCUUGAAACUCUACUUUGUAAAACAUUCUUGGUGCACAGCGCCUACAAGCAUGGGCAUAGAGAACAUGAGGAUUCCAGAUCACUGUUCAAGAAGAGUGAGGCGGACACCAUCUGA